UACGGAGAGUGCAAACGUUGUUCGGAUUUAUUGGGCGUAAAGGGUGCGUAGGCGGCGGAGUAAGUUGGGUGUGAAAUCCCGGGGCUUAACCUCGGAAUUGCAUUCAAUACUGCUUCGCUCGAGUACUGGAGAGGAGGCUGGAAUUUACGGUGUAGCAGUGAAAUGCGUAGAUAUCGUAAGGAAGGCCGGUGGCGAAAGCGAGCCUCUGGACAGUUACUGACGCUGAUGCACGAAGGCCAGGGGAGCAAACGGG
rnacentral:rRNA from 1 species